rnacentral:rRNA from 1 species
AGCGAACGCUGGCGGCAGGCCUAACACAUGCAAGUCGAACGAAGUCUUCGGACUUAGUGGCGGACGGGUGAGUAACACGUGGGAACGUGCCUUUAGGUUCGGAAUAACUCAGGGAAACUUGUGCUAAUACCGAAUGUGCCCUUCGGGAGAACGAUUUAUCGCCUUUAGAGCGGCCCGGGUCUGAUUAGCUAGUGGGUGAGGUAAAGGCUAACCAAGGCGACGAUCAGUAGCUGGUCUGAGAGGAUGAUCAGCAACAUUGGGACUGAGACACGGCCCAAACUCCUACGGGAGGCAGCAGUGGGGAAUCUUGCGCAAUGGGCGAAGGCCUGACGCAGCCAUGCCGCGUGAAUGAAGAAGGUCUUAGGAUUGUAAAAUUCUUUCACCGGGGACGAUAAUGACGGUACCCGGAGAAGAAGCCCCGGCUAACUUCGUGCCAGCAGCCGCCGUAAUAC